AGGUGCGCACCGUCACGCAUCAGACCU
rnacentral:rRNA from 1 species